rnacentral:rRNA from 1 species
UACGGAGGGAGCUAGCGUUGUUCGGAUAUACUGGGCGUAAAGCGCACGUAGGCGGCGCAGCAAGUCAGGGGUGAAAUCCCGGAGCUCAACUCCGGAACUGCCUUUGAAACUGCAGUGCUAGAAUCCUGGAGAGGCGAGUGGAAUUCCGAGUGUAGAGGUGAAAUUCGUAGAUAUUCGGAAGAACACCAGUAGCGAAGGCGACUCGCUGGACAGGUAUUGACGCUGAGGUGCGAAAGCGUGGGGAGCAAACAGG